AUAUGAUACCCAAGUUUGGAUUACAAGCAAAUGUAAUACAGUGAUAAACUGAUAAGUGAUAAUUGAUAAUGAUAAUAACCAAUAUAUAUUAUUAUUUUUAUUAAAAAACCGACACUAAAAAUAAAAAAAAUAAAAAACAAUUAUAAUCUAAGACUUUUGAGACAGUAUCCGAUCGCCUACAAUGUACAUCAAAACGUUUUCACAUCGUCAUUCGCCAGUCAAAAUUAUGAACACAGAACAACGCAAGAGCAACUGUGAGUGGUUGUUGUGAAGUAAAGGUGAAAUAAAUUAAUGACGAGUAGUCGACACCGGCUGGCGGCGGCCAGGGCAAUGUUAAUGCUGUCGACUGUAUUCGAUUGUUGUGUUGAACGUCUUAAAAAACAGUUGUUACAUACUUUAAUAAAUGAUAUUGUGACAGGCCAAGUUUAAGCGACCGUGAACGGAUGUUGUGUAGUAUCGGUGAAAAAAAUAAAUGGGUAUCAUAGCACGUAGUAAGAUCAAGGUUUACUCGGAUGAUCCGGAUAAAUGCCAAUAUCGCUUACAGAAACACUGAGCAACUAUCGCAGUAACGACUAAAGCUAUAAGCUUACAGCUAUAAACUGUCAUAUGUGGACUAACUUAUUCAAGCAGGUCUUGAUCUGAAACAAUUAUGGAUUAAACUAUUUUUACUUUUUAAUUUAAAAACACUAUCAAGAUAACAAAGAGAAAAAGCCGGUCUACCUCAACAACAAAAAAUCAAUAAUAGAGCAGCAGCAACAAUUAACAAGUACAAGAGUCAUUAAACAAAGAAACCAACACUGUGGAAAAGAGGAUCAAAGCGCUGCACAAAAUAUUUUAGGAUUUUGCUAAUAUAACUCUCAAUUUAAUUUCACAGUAAGAUACUAGAUACUUUAUACAUAAUAUGUUCUUAUUUUUUUUUUAGUUAGUAAAUUUGUAUUGAUUUAUCUAAAAUCUAGAUCAGAGGUUCCCAAACUUUUUAUUGUACGACCCAUUUUGAGAAUUUUUUAAAAUUUGGUGACCCUAAUUAUUAAUAAAUGACCUAUUUUUUUAGUGAAUCAGUUACUUACAACAAAAAAUAUAAAUUAAUUUUUAAUAUAAAAGUAUAGCGCAACCCACUUAAAAUAUAAUCAUGACCCACAGUUUGGGAACCUCUGAUCUAGAUGAUAUAUUGUAGUAGGCUACAUUUAAGCAACUGUGAAUGAAUGUUGUAAAGUAGCGGUAAAAAAAUUAAUGGUAAAUAUAUUUCAAAGUGUAUUUUU